UACGUAGGGGGCUAGCGUUGUCCGGAAUCAUUGGGCGUAAAGCGCGUGUAGGCGGUCCGGUAAGUCCGCUGUGAAAGUCCAGGGCUCAACCCUGGAAAGCCGGUGGAUACUGUCGGGCUCGAGUCCGGAAGAGGCGAGUGGAAUUCCUGGUGUAGCGGUGGAAUGCGCAGAUAUCGGGAGGAACACCAGUGGCGAAGGCGAGUCUCUGGGAUGAUGCUGACGCUGAUGCGCGAAAGCCAGGGGAGCAAACGGG
rnacentral:rRNA from 1 species